rnacentral:rRNA from 1 species
UACAGAGGGUGCGAGCGUUAAUCGGAAUGACUGGGCGUAAAGGGCGCGUAGGUGGAUGUGUGUGUUGGAUGUGAAAGCCCCGGGCUCAACCUGGGAAUUGCAUACAAAACUGCACAUCUAGAGUAGAGCAGAGGUAAGUGGAAUUUCCGGAGUAGCGGUGAAAUGCGUAGAUACCGGAAGGAACACCAGUGGCGAAGGCGACUUACUGGGCUCAAACUGACACUGAGGCGCGAAAGCGUGGGGAGCAAACAGG